rnacentral:rRNA from 1 species
GCAAGCGUUAAUCGGAAUUACUGGGCGUAAAGCGUGCGCAGGCGGUCCGCUAAGACAGAUGUGAAAUCCCCAGGCUUAACCUGGGAACUGCAUUUGUGACUGGCGGGCUAGAGUAUGGCAGAGGGUGGUGGAAUUUCCUGUGUAGCGGUGAAAUGCGUAGAUAUAGGAAGGAACACCAGUGGCGAAGGCGACCACCUGGACUGAUACUGACACUGAGGUGCGAAAGCGUGGGGGGCAAACAGGAUUAGAUACCCUGGUAGUCCACGCCGUAAACGAUGUCAACUAGCCGUUGGGAGCCUUGAGCUCUUAGUGGCGCAGCUAACGCAUUAAGUUGACCGCCUGGGGAGUACGGCCGCAAGGUUAAAACUCAAAUGAAUUGACGGGGGCCCGCACAAGCGGUGGANCAUGUGGUUUAAUUCCAACAACGCGAAGAACCUUACCAAGCCUUGACAUCCAAUGAAUUUCCCAAAAAU